rnacentral:rRNA from 1 species
GAUGAACGCUGGCGGCGUGCUUAACACAUGCAAGUCGAACGGAAAGGCCGAAGCUUGCUUCGGUACUCGAGUGGCGAACGGGUGAGUAACACGUGGGUGAUCUGCCCUGUACUUCGGGAUAAGCUUGGGAAACUGGGUCUAAUACCGGAUAUGACGAUCUCUUGGAUGGGGUUGUGGAAAGCUUUUGCGGUAUGGGAUGAGCUCGCGGCCUAUCAGCUUGUUGGUGGGGUAAUGGCCUACCAAGGCGUCGACGGGUAGCCGGCCUGAGAGGGUGUACGGCCACAUUGGGACUGAGAUACGGCCCAGACUCCGACGGGAGGCAGUAGUGGGGCAUAUUGCACAAUGGGCGCAAGCCUGAUGCAGCGACGCCGCGUGGGGGAUGACGGCCUUCGGGUUGUAAACUCCUUUCGCAAUCGACGAAGCCUUUUGGUGACGGUAGGUUGAGAAGAAGCACCGGCUAACUACGUG